UACGUAGGGCGCGAGCGUUGUCCGGAAUUAUUGGGCGUAAAGAGCUCGUAGGCGGCUUGUCACGUCGGGUGUGAAAGACCGGGGCUUAACUCCGGUUCUGCAUUCGAUACGGGGCUAGCUAGAGUGUGGUAGGGGGAGAUCGGAAUUCCUGGUGUAGCGGUGAAAAUGCGCAGAUAUCAGGAGGAACACCGGUGGCGAAGGCGGAUCUCUGGGCCAUUACUGACGCUGAGGAGCGAAAAGCGUGGGGGAGCGAACAGG
rnacentral:rRNA from 1 species